GUACCUUUUGCAUCAUGAAUUAGCCAGUAUAAAUCAAGCAAAGAGUACUUUAGUUUGAUACCCCGAAACUAAGUGAGCUACUUCAAGUCAGCCUAAUACAGGGCAAACCCGUCUCUGUGGCAAAAGAGUGGGAAGAACUUCAAGUAGCGGUGACAGACCUAUCGAACUUAGUUAUAGCUGGUUGCCUGGGAGACGGAUACAAGUUCAGCCUUUCGGCUUCUCCCCUCAAACAACAACAUUUUCCGACAAAGAGAAACCGUGAGAGUUAGUCAAAGGGGGUACAGCCCCUUUGACCAAAGAUACAACUUUUUCAGGCGGGUAAAGAUCAAAAUAUGUUUCAAGGUAAGAUGUUUUGGUGGGCCUAAAAGCAGCCAUCCCUACAGAAAGCGUUAAAGCUCAAACAUUAUACUUACACCUAUUAUUCUGAUAGUCCCAUCUUAACCCCCUAAUUUUACCAGGCCGUUCCAUACAAUCUAUGGAAGUGACCAUGCUAGUAUGAGUAAUAAGAAGGGCUCCGCCCUUCUCCCUGCACACAUGUAAGUCGGAACAGACCCCCUACCGAACCUUAACGGCCCCAAACCAAGAGGGAAUUGAACACCACACUAAAUUACAAGAAAACCCCCCAAAACCUAACCGUUACCCCYACACAGGUGUGCUUAUAAGGAAAGACUAAAAGAAAGAGAAGGAACUCGGCAAACAUAAUGCCUCGCCUGUUUACCAAAAACAUCGCCUCUUGCAAAAUUAAUGAAUAAGAGGUCCCGCCUGCCCUGUGACUAUAUGUUUAACGGCCGCGGUAUUUUGACCGUGCGAAGGUAGCGUAAUCACUUGUCUCUUAAAUGGAGACCUGUAUGAAUGGCAAAACGAGGGCUUAACUGUCUCCUCUCUCUGGUCAAUGAAAUUGAUCUCCCCGUGCAGAAGCGGGGAUAUACUCAUAAGACGAGAAGACCCUAUGGAGCUUUAGACACUAAGACAGAUCAUGUCAAACACCCACAAACAGGUGGUAGAACUUAAUGAUCCCCUGUCCUAAUGGCUU
rnacentral:rRNA from 1 species